rnacentral:rRNA from 1 species
GAUGAACGCUGGCGGCGUGCCUAAUACAUGCAAGUCGAGCGAAUGGAUUAAGAGCUUGCUCUUAUGAAGUUAGCGGCGGACGGGUGAGUAACACGUGGGUAACCUGCCCAUAAGACUGGGAUAACUCCGGGAAACCGGGGCUAAUACCGGAUACAUUUUGAACCGCAUGGUUCGAAAUUGAAAGGCCGCUUCGGCUGUCCCCUAAGGAAGGAACCGCGUCGCAUUAGCUAGUUGGUGAGGUAACGGCUCACCAAGGCAACGAUGCGUAGCCGACCUGAGAGGGUGAUCGGCCACACUGGGACUGAGACACGGCCCAGACUCCUACGGGAGGCAGCAGUAGGGAAUCUUCCGCAAUGGACGAAAGUCUGACGGAGCAACGCCGCGUGAGUGAUGAAGGCUUUCGGGUCGUAAAACUCUGUUGUUAGGGAAGAACAAGUGCUAGUUGAAUAAGCUGACACCUUGACGGUACCUAACCAGAAAGCCACGGCUAACUACGUGCCAGCCGCCGCAGUAA